CAGCAGCCGCGGGAAUACGUAGGGUGCGAGCGUUAAUCGGAAUUACUGGGCGUAAAGCGUGCGCAGGCGGCCAUUCAAGACAGAUGUGAAAUCCCCGGGCUCAACCUGGGAACUGCAUUUGUGACUGCAUGGCUAGAGUACGGUAGAGGGGGAUGGAAUUCCGCGUGUAGCAGUGAAAUGCGUAGAUAUGCGGAGGAACACCGAUGGCGAAGGCAAUCCCCUGGACCUGUACUGACGCUCAUGCACGAAAGCGUGGGGAGCAAACAGGAUUAGAUACCCGGGUAGUCCCUGUCUCUUAUAA
rnacentral:rRNA from 1 species